AAAACUUAAUAGGGGUGCUGACGGAUGUCGGCUGAGAGGGAAUAUGAGUAUUCCCAACCCAUGAACCUGAUCCGGAUAAUGCCGGCGUAGGGAGCUGCUUUGUAGUGAAU
rnacentral:ncRNA from 2 species